CAAAGGUUGGUAAAAAUUGCAGAAAGGUAAUGUUAUGAUUCCGUAUCCGUCGCUAACGGCAGAGCAAAAAGAACAUAAUCGAUUUCAGGAUGCGGGUAAAGAUAAAAUCCGCGAGAUCAAAUGUUUACCACAAUUUUCAGCAACAUAAAGUUUAAGACUCCCAACUGUUGGGAGGUAAUUUACACGCUAUCAGCCACUUCAUAUAACUAUUUCAUGAAACUUUAAACACUUAUGGGCCUUACUCUUAUGAGCUCGUAUGCGAUCAAUAGACAAAAUUCAGAUUUAUUUAUACUAAACCCUUGCCAUCGUACUCUGGGACCAUGUAACUAAAACAUCUAUCAUUUUACUUUAUAAUCAUUAACCACAAACUUAAAUGGUGUUAUACCUCUCAUAGUUGUCCGUAUAUUUGACAAAGUAAAGUCGAUCUUAAUAAUUUGAUUCUGAAUUUCCCUAUCUUGUUCAGUUAUAAAAAUUACAGUGGCGCUACCAGCAAAUUUUACUAAAUCUACGGUUGAUUGGUCUAUAGAUACUUUUGUUACACUUGUUUUGAUGACCUUUUUCUUAUGUGCGGGUGAAUCACUAACUUCAUUCUUUAUUUUUUCCCGAAAAUUCUUAUAAACUCUAUGGGUCGAAUUGUUUUUUAUAAAACUUGUUUGAUAAGCAAAUUUUGCAACUCCGCGGGACUCAUAUAGCUCAACAUAUUUUUGUAUCAAGUACCUCGCUACAGAAAUAUGUUCAUUUUCUUUUUUAUAGAAACUGAGUUUACGUAUUACAGAAAGCUCAUCAUCUCUAUGAUUGAUAUAUUUUACAAAAUUUAGAUCUCUUUUGGUGGGGAAUAAUAAAUAUAUAUCCAAUAGUAAUAAAAAUACACACACUGAGAGAAACAAUACUACCAGUGCCAACCAAGAUCUUUCUGUAAUGCAGAAUAAAUACUUAUAGCAAUACCACUCAACUCCCCUAUUAAAAUAACUUUUAUUUUUUACUGAUUCAAGUAAAUUAUCUUCCAUAAUCUA